CUACGUGCCAGCAGCCGCGGUAAUACGGAAGGUCCAGGCGUUAUCCGGAUUUAUUGGGUUUAAAGGGAGCGUAGGCGGAUUGUUAAGUCAGCGGUUAAAGGGUGUGGCUCAACCAUGCAUUGCCGUUGAAACUGGCGAUCUUGAGUGCAGACAGGGAUGCCGGAAUUCGUGGUGUAGCGGUGAAAUGCUUAGAUAUCACGAAGAACUCCGAUCGCGAAGGCAGGUGUCCGGGSUGCAACUGACGCUGAGGCUCGAAAGUGUGGGUAUCAAACAGGAUUAGAUACCCUGGUAGUCCACACAGUAAACGAUGAAUACUCGCAGUUUGCGAUACACAGUAAGCUGCCAAGCGAAAGCAUUAAGUAUUCCACCUGGGGAGUACGCCGGCAACGGUGAAACUCAAAGGAAUUGACGGGGGCCCGCACAAGCGGAGGAACAUGUGGUUUAAUUCGAUGAUACGCGAGGAACCUUACCCGGGCUUGAAC
rnacentral:rRNA from 1 species